GGAGGGAACCGAAAUUUUCAUUCCCUCUGUUAUCUCCCUCAAAUAUUUUCCCCUUUUUAUUUCAGUCAAAAACAAAAACUAUCAUACUUCUAUCUCUCGCAGCCCCAUGUCUAUCAUCGCCGCCGUAGAUACUCUCAUCGCCUCCCUGCUCUUCAUCUUUAUCCAAGGUUAAGUUAAUGUCCGAGCCUCAAAAGCUACCAAUAGAAGAAAAAAGAGUUCACAUAUCCCUUGCUUAGCUACAAGUAAUUGGUAACUUAUUGCAAGAGUGAUUGUUUAUACUUCGGUUACCAUGUCAUUCAAAAUAGUUUUACAAUUUUAAUUUCGGCUUUGGCUCAACAAUCAACAUGUAUAUGAUUUUGUUGUUGUGCUUGAUAUUCCACUUGAUUUUAGAAGAGCAAAUGUAAUUGAGUCAUAGUAACUUAUCAAUGAUGUGUUAUUAUGGUUGUGUUCACUUGAAUUUUAAUGGAUUACAUUUAGCCUUUUUUUUUUUGGGGUAUAUGUUGUCUACAAGAAAUUAUGUUUAGUAUGUGUAUCUAAUGCUAUAUUAUGGUUAUAUUUCUUUUAUUAGUUUCUUGGUUCUGUUCUAAGUUAGUUUCUAUUGAUUAUUAAAUAAAAAUGUGUAUGAAACGAGGCUUGUGAACUUGAAUUAGUUUACAUGAUUUAUGUUUGAAAUUACAUAGAAUUAUAUCCAUAUAUGUUUGAAAUUGCAUCUUAUUGUAAUUUUUCUGAUACUUUCAGCUUCGAACCCGAAUCUACAGUGAGGGGUGCUAUUACGAAAAUCUUCAAAGAAAAUUUUCAAGGUGCAUGGUCAUGUUGGAGUGCUGUUGAUUCAACCACACGAGAUUUUUGGUUUGAAGACUUUAAGGUCAUUUUAUUAAGUAAUUGAGGCCAAAUACAAAUGGCUUGAAAAGGAUGAAGCUAGCAUUGAAAAAGCUUUAAUAGUAGGGGAACAUUGGCCCUGAAAAUUGCUUUGUUCAAGGUUUGUAGUGGUAAAGAUAAAGGUGAAUGGAUUGAUGAAGAUAAGUUAAAAGAAUUAAGGGAUCAAUGGAACGGUGAAACUUGGCAAAUGGAUUGAUGGAUUGAUGGAUGAUGAAGAUGAUGUGUUGGAUGAUGAAGCUUAGCUUUAGUUACUUUCUUUUAUGUAUUUUUGUUAAAUCAAUUAUAUGAAUUUUUGUGUCUUUGACAAUUUUAGGUUUGAUAUUAUAUUUAGUGCAGUAGUGGUGCACUUGAUACUUUGUAAGAAUGACAUACAUUUGGUGUCAAUCGAAAUUUGAUUUUCUCA